CCCUGACUAAAGAUGGCUCCCCGGCUGUAGAAAGCUUCAGUCCGCUUCCGGACGCGAUCGGAUGACGUACACUGAGGGAGUCCGGGGAUUCCCCGUGUUGGCGUCGGGGGUCUCAGCGCUAUGCUAGGUCUGAGAGGGCAGUGGUGAUGGCAGCUCAGUGGGUAGCCCGCGGCUCAGAGCCGUGGCUGGACGAGUUCACUGUCCCUGCGGAGAAAAGCUGUCUCUUGGAGGGCAGCCGGGGCCGCAUCGAGUGCUUGUUCGAGGUGCAGUUGGCCGUGCUCGGGGCGCAGGGAGACCGACGCAUCUGGGUGCAGCUGGCGGGCGGCUGGAAGGCCGUGCGCGCCGCCAAGGAGUAUAUUAAGGGACUCUGCGAACCUGAACUAGAAGAAAAAGAGUACUACCCAAAGGACAUGCACUGCAUCUUUGUUGGUGCACAAAGCCUGUUUCUCAACAGUCUUAUUCAGGAUACCUGUGCUGAUAUAUCAGUGCUGGAAAUAGGAUUGCUCGGUAUUAAAGGGGGUGCAGAAGCUGUUGUUAUGGCUCAGAGUCAUAUUCAGCAGUUUGUGAACCUUUUUGAGAGUAAUGAAAGCUUAUUAAGUGACAAUGAGUCGGAGAUUAAGAAGCAAUUCAGACAAUUUGUGGAAGCACAUGCAGAUAAAUACACAAUGGAUUUACUGAUUUUGCCCAGCUCACUAAAAAGAGAGCUCCUAGCUCUCACACAAGCUGAAUGCUGUAAAGUGCAGAGCAGUAUCAUAGAUCUGACAGGUUCUGAAAGCCCAACAGAGCUUUUACAUAACGAAGCCCCCAAAGUAAUAGCUACAAACAGAGAUGGAAGAGAAGGUGGUGAGGAAGAAAGAAACAAUGCUGGAACACCUGUAACUGAACUUACAAAGCAAAUGGACGUUGUGUUUUCUGAUGCUCCUGGAACAAGUUUUGUUCCCAUAAAUGUGCCUGUGUUACAGACAGUAGUGCCUAAAGAAAGGCAGUCAUGUAAAAGAAGAUCCUCUUAUGAUGAGGAAAGGCUUCCUAAAAAGCAGUUCUCUUCAGAAAAUGAUCAGGAAGUCAUAUUUUCACACAGUAAUCAUUCAGAUAGUGAAUCAAUUAUUGAUCUGCUUUCAGAUAGCUGCAAUGAAAGGAGAUCAAAUGAUUCCAGUUAUCACAUUAAAGUAGGUGAUGAAAUCAGUGAGGAAAUGGAAUAUAGAAUUCUUGUGAACUUUUUCAGAACAAUGGGAUAUCGCCAAAAUAUUGUAGAAAAAGUCAUUGGUAUCCUAGGGCAAUCUGUGGAACCAUUAACACUGUUAGAAGAAAUUGAAAAGGAAAAUGCGAAAUCUCAAAAAGAGCAUGGGCAGUCAUCUCCAAUGCCUAAAACUGACAAUCCCUCUUUAGGAAGUAAUGCAAAUAACUCACAAAAGCUAGUAGACAAAAGCAAUAAAAGUCCGCUUAAAUCCAGUCAUACUUCAAGGGGGACAAAAAGUGAGUAUCACAAAAUGAGAAAUCCACCAAGCAUGCAAGCUGAUGCAGAAAAUGAAAUGCAUACGUUGGUAGGUAAACCUGUUUCUCCUUCCAGUAAAAAUUCAGCUAUGUGCUAUAAAAAACGAGACAUUUAUUGCCAGGGUAAGAAUUACAGUUUGAGAUCAAGUGAUAGAGAUACUGAUGGUGGUGUAACUUUUGGGACUAUACAAGCUGGAGCUCUAAAAGAUGUUGAUUUUGUAGCCAGAGGGAGCUCAGAUGUGCAGUGUACCUUGACUAAGACUAAAACUGCAGUUCAGCAAAGCACUGCAGGGCCCUCAACUGUACAGAAUAGUCAUCCUGGUUCUGAGGACCAAUUAGGACACUGCAGCUCUUCUCAAGGGAGAUCUCCUAACCAACGCCGUUCCCAAACCUCAAACUCAGAAAAUCCUGUCUCAAACCAGGUAUUGUCUUCACAAAUGCAGCCCUCAAAUCCUGAUAAAAAGACAGUGGGACCACAAAGACAUCAUCCUGAUCCUUCUGUUACUGGAGUUCAGAGAUUUUUGGAUUCUCUGAAAAAGCCAUACAGACUGGAAUUGAAAAAUGAACCUGGGAAACCAUAUUUAAAACACAUCAUUAUUGAUGGAAGCAAUGUUGCAAUCACUCAUGGGCUAAGGAAAUUCUUCUCCUGUCGAGGAAUCGCAAUAGCUGUUGACUACUUUUGGAAACGUGGCCACAGAAAUAUUACUGUGUUUGUUCCGCAAUGGAGAACAAGACGUGAUCCUAACAUUACAGAGCAGGAUUUCUUAACAGAGCUCCAGGAUGUUGGAAUAUUAUCUUUAACCCCUGCAAGGGUGGUUUUAGGAGCAAGAAUUGCUGCUCAUGAUGACAGGUUUUUAUUACACCUUGCUGAUAAAACUGGAGGUGUUAUUGUGACUAAUGAUAACUUCAGAGAAUUUGUGACAGAAUCAAUUGCCUGGAGAGAAAUUAUUCAAAGAAGGCUGCUCCAGUACACUUUUGCUGGUGACAUAUUUAUGGUUCCUGAUGAUCCUUUGGGAAGAAAUGGACCUAGAUUAGAUGACUUCCUUCAAAAUGAAGACUUUUCUAGCCUGUUCAGAAACUGCUGGUGACAUUUGCAUCUAAUCAAGAUCUCUCUCAGAGCUAAGAUAAGUAAAACAAUAACUUCCUCUGAGAUUCAAUUGUGAUGGCUUUCAUUCAAAGGUGGUCCAAACUAUGUUAACAUAGCACAAAGCUGGAGUGGUUUGGGUGUGGUGGUAGCCUUGUAUCCUGUUACUUAUGGUGAUGUUAUUUAAAACACCUUGGUUUAUCACUUAUUCAUAGUGGGACAAUAGGUGGUACAAUAGAAACUCUACACUCAGUCAUGAGAGAGGCAUUUCUCUUCUCACUUGAGACAUGAAAUUGUGCUGUUAAUAAAACAAUUUUUGAAGGGCAUUGUUAUUAAAUGCUUUUUAAAUAAUAUUUUUAAAUAUUAAUAAAUAUAUAGUUCCUGUAAGAUUAUUAUACAUUUAAAAUAUUCAUAUAUUCCAAGCAUGAAUUUGCUUUAUAUUAGCCAUCAAGAUGUGGGAAUGGCUUUGCUCUUUUGUGUGAGAAAAUGAGCUGCUCUUUACUUUUCUUUCACCACUUUAAGUAUAUAAAUGCUAAUGGUAGUGAGGAGUAUUCAGCGAUCUUUUAGAAACAACUGAGGUAAUUAAAAAUCAGUAAUAAAAAAGACAAGUUAUACUUAACUAAUUGUAUGUGUAAAUCUUUAUCUCAGCUAAUGGAAACAACUGAGGAAAGUGAGAAGUAUAUACCAGAAGUUCACAGGUUGAUCUGAAAAUAACUGUGUUUAAUGUUGUCAUGAAAAAUCUAGUGUAGUUCUAGAACUCCAGUAGGAAAUGCUAAGAAAAUAAUAUAACACUUAUUGUAAGUACAUAUGACAGUACAUUAUGCAUAAUUACAAAUAAUAUUUAAAUAUAAUAUAUUUUUUUUGAAUAGAAGGGCUGUAAUAUAAAGUCCUUAGAAGAUGUCAUGUGGAACAUUGUGUUUUAGCUGCCCAAAACACAGUGCUGUGUCUGAAAAAUGUGAAAG